rnacentral:rRNA from 1 species
GCGACCCCAGGUCAGACGGGACUACCCGCUGAA